rnacentral:rRNA from 1 species
GUAGGUGGCAAGCGUUGUCCGGAAUUAUUGGGCGUAAAGCGCGCGCAGGCGGUCCUUUAAGUCUGAUGUGAAAGCCCACGGCCCAACCGUGGAGGGUCAUUGGAAACUGGGGGACUUGAGUACAGAAGAGGAAAGCGGAAUUCCAAGUGUAGCGGUGAAAUGCGUAGAGAUUUGGAGGAACACCAGUGGCGAAGGCGGCUUUCUGGUCUGUAACUGACGCUGAGGCGCGAAAGCGUGGGGAGCAAACAGGAUUAGAUACCCUGGUAGUCCACGCCGUAAACGAUGAGUGCUAAGUGUUAGGGGGUUUCCCGCCCCCUUAGUGCUGCAGCUAACGCAUUAAGCACUCCGCCUGGGGAGUACGGCCGCAAGGCUG